CGCAGCGGCGUCAAGAUGGCGGCGGCUGUGGCGGCGGCGGCGGCGGCGGCGGCCGCGGCUGCAUCCCUUCAGGUGCUGGAAAUGGAGAGCAUGGAGACGGCCGCCGCCGGUUCCGCGGGGCUGGCCGCCGAGGUCCGAGGCAGCGGCACUGUGGACUUCGGGCCCGGUCCCGGAAUCUCUGCCAUGGAAGCAAGCGGGGGCGAUCCGGGCCCAGAAGCUGAGGACUUCGAGUGCAGCUCUCACUGCUCCGAGCUUUCCUGGCGGCAGAAUGAGCAACGUCGCCAAGGCCUCUUCUGCGACAUCACUCUGUGCUUCGGGGGCGCCGGGGGCCGCGAGUUCCGGGCCCACCGCUCGGUGCUGGCUGCCGCCACCGAGUAUUUCACGCCCCUGCUCUCGGGUCAGUUUUCCGAGUCGCGCUCGGGCCGGGUGGAGAUGCGCAAGUGGAGCUCGGAGCCGGGGCCUGAGCCCGACACGGUGGAAGCCGUUAUCGAGUACAUGUACACCGGGCGCAUCCGCGUCAGCACGGGCAGUGUGCAUGAGGUGCUGGAGCUGGCCGACAGAUUCCUGUUAAUUCGUUUAAAAGAAUUUUGUGGAGAAUUUCUCAAGAAAAAACUGCAUCUUUCAAAUUGUGUGGCCAUUCAUAGCUUAGCUCACAUGUAUACCCUUAGCCAACUUGCUCUGAAAGCUGCUGACAUGAUACGGAGAAAUUUCCACAAAGUUAUUCAGGAUGAAGAAUUUUAUACUUUACCUUUCCAUCUCAUUCGAGACUGGCUUUCAGACUUGGAAAUUACAGUUGACUCUGAAGAGGUUCUCUUUGAAACAGUUUUGAAGUGGGUUCAGAGAAAUGCUGAAGAGAGAGAGAGAUACUUUGAAGAACUUUUUAAAUUACUCAGAUUGUCCCAGAUGAAACCUACCUACCUUACUCGGCAUGUCAAACCAGAGAGGCUGGUGGCCAAUAAUGAAGUUUGCGUCAAGCUCGUGGCCGAUGCAGUGGAGAGGCAUGCUCUGAGAGCUGAAAAUAUACAGUCUGGCACAUUCCAGCAUCCUGCUUCUCAUGUCUCAUUAUUACCUCGCUAUGGGCAAAACAUGGACGUGAUCAUGGUUAUUGGAGGUGUGUCAGAAGGAGGGGACUAUUUAAGUGAAUGUGUGGGAUAUUUUGUUGAUGAGGACAGAUGGGUAAACCUGCCCCAUAUUCAUAAUCACCUUGAUGGACAUGCAGUUGCAGUAACAGAAUCCUAUGUGUACGUUGCUGGAUCCAUGGAACCAGGGUUUGCUAAGACUGUGGAAAGAUACAAUCCAAAUUUGAAUACAUGGGAACACGUUUGUAGUCUAAUGACAAGAAAGCAUUCUUUUGGGCUAACAGAAGUCAAAGGGAAGUUGUAUAGCAUUGGAGGACAUGGCAACUUUAGUCCUGGCUUUAAAGAUGUGACUGUUUACAAUCCUGAGCUCGAUAAGUGGCACAACUUGGAAUCAGCACCAAAGAUUCUUCGAGAUGUCAAAGCACUAGCCAUCGAAGACCGGUUUGUGUACAUUGCUGCCCGCACUCCUGUGGACCGGGAUACUGAAGAUGGAUUAAAAGCUGUAAUUACGUGCUAUGACACCGAGACUCGGCAGUGGCAAGAUGUGGAGUCUUUGCCACUUAUUGACAAUUACUGCUUUUUCCAAAUGUCUGUGGUCAAUUCAAACUUUUAUCAGACGGCAUCAUGCUGUCCCAAGAGUUACUCUUUAGAAAAUGAAGAGGCAGUAAGAAAAAUUGCCAACCAAGUGUCUGAUGAGAUCCUUGAAAGCUUGCCUCCAGAAGUCCUAAGCAUUGAAGGAGCAGCCAUUUGCUAUUACAAAGAUGAUGUCUUCAUUAUCGGAGGCUGGAAAAACAGUGAUGAUAUUGACAAACAGUAUCGGAAAGAAGCCUAUCGAUACUGUGCGGAGAGAAAGAGGUGGAUGCUCCUUCCUCCCAUGCCACAGCCUCGUUGUAGAGCUACUGCUUGUCAUGCCAGGAUUCCCUACCGAUACUUACACGGCACACAGAGGUAUCCUAUGCCUCAAAACCUAAUGUGGCAGAAGGACCGCAUCAGACAGAUGCAAGAAAUACAUCGGCAUGCCCUAAAUAUGCGGCGAGUGCCAAGCUCCCAGAUUGAAUGCUAAAUUCUCUUAACACAUACAGCUUCAAACUCUUCCCUGAGGCUGACGAUAGCCAGACUGUUACUUGAAAAACAGGCAGCCUAGGCCCUGGCUGAAAGAGGGGUAAGUCCUUAAUUGCAUGGUGAUGUGUGCAGAUUUUCCUGAUUACUGAGUUUCUAAUUUUUAUAUUUGAAUUCACAUAUGUGACUUAAUGUCAGUAACUUAUGUUUCCUAAAUAUCCUAACUAACUUGUUAAUAAGGAAAGAAACCAGAUUUGCUUAAAUCUGUUCAAGGCUGACAUUCUGAAAUCCUAAACUGGAAGUAACUUAAAAAGUAUUUGGAAUGAUUCAAUUAUGAUGAUCAGGCCUAAUAUGGCUUGGGAAAGAAAUUUCCUUUCUGAUGAAAAUUUGAAGAUUGUGUUUGGUAAUAUAAGCAGUUGAAAACACAACUAUGUAAAAAACAGCUUAAUGUGUAUUCAAGCAUACAUUUGUUUUGUUGCUUUUAUUUUCUUUUGGUGGUGAGAAAUUAAUUAUACCAAAAAGUGAUAACUACAUAACUUUGAGUGAGCCUACUUAUAUCUUAGAAUGGAUAUCCUUUAACUGUACUUACCCUACCAUGGUUUAAAAGAAGAACCAGUAGUAGAAAUUGAGAAUGUCAGUCAUGAGCUUAGUGUUUAAGUAAUACAUCUCACUUGCAGUUGUUUGCAUGAUUAGUCUUGUGUAUCUUGAUAGUCAACUUUGCUUUUUACUGUGCCAGUUCAAAAUAACAUUUUGCUGAGAACUGUUAAAAUUCAUUGACAUCAGUUUUGUUUUGAGCAUCUGGUCGUGUAUAAUAUUUCUGGGACCAAAAAACUGAAAAAUACUGACCUUUUUAAAUGCAGAACAUAAGUUUGAACAGCUGGAGAGAAGGUUUGUGUGCUUUUGUGUUUUUAAUCCUUCAGUUUGCUGGUAAGGCAGUUUUAGCACACACUUUUUCCUCGUUAUCUUUUGACCCGUACAGCAUGUGGUAUGUUUAAAAUACUUUCUUUUCUACUUCACCAUUCUAGUAUCAACAUUAUACUAGACUAUAAGUAGACUGGUGAGCUGAAUUGUAUGUUUUAGUUUACUUACCUAAUCAAGCAUAAGUAAAAAGUCCUCUUUGGGCACUUUCCUCAAGUUAAGCUUAAGUAAAAAGGGCAUUUUGACCACAUUUCAUGUCUUUAAAUGUAUAUGGUAUUGUGAAACAAAUACUCUGCCUACACUAGAAAAAUAUGGUGCUUUUAAUGUAGAAUAUUUGAGAAACAAUUCAGUCUUCCCUCAAUCAUCAAUCAUUUUGGCGCAGCUCAUCACUCCAUUUUGUUACUUUCAUGAGAAAAGUCCGUUUUGUUGUUGUUAAUGCUUAACAUUAUGGCCUGUGUUCUAGUCAUUAGAAACAAAACAGUUCAUGGUUGAGUGUUGUAAUACAAUAACAGUACCAUAACAAAAUAGUCAUUUUGCUUCAAGGAAUGUAAUUGGCCAAAUUACUACUCUUUGUCAGUGACCCUUUUAGGGCUUUUGUCUUACUCUCUGACCAUCACUAGGAAUGUCUUACCUUGAAACACAUUUACUAGAGUACUUGUUAACUUAACCCUCCUGCUCAUGCACUCCUGAAAAGCGGCUUGAGAGGUAUUUGAAGACUUUACAAUCAGUGUGCUAAGGCUCCUUAUUUGUAAAACAAAUAUUUAGUUGAUAACAGUUUAGGGGGCUAGCAGUAUCCAGACCCCUAAGGUAUAAUUGUGACUAUCUCCCUUCACGUCAGAGGAGAUGUAGUAUUUAGAACACUUUGAGACAUUAUAUUGUAAAAUAGCUUGUUCUAUGUUCCCAAAGCUAUCUUGCUGUGUGUUAAAGCUACUAAUUGUCUCAAUGUAAG